rnacentral:tRNA from 1 species
GGGGUCAUGGUGUAACGGUAGCACAAAGGGCUCCAGAACCUUUUAGUCGGGGUUCGAAUCCUCGUGACCCCACCA